AACGCACAUUGCGCCUCUCGGUAUUCCGGGAGGCACGCCUGUCCGAGCGCCAUUACACACUCCAAGCUGAGCUUGAUGUUGGACGAUGUCUGAGGGGGAGGAAUCGAGAAGAUUGUCUCUGAUGACACGUCUGGAACUUGUGGGCGCCGACCUGCCGGACCACGAACGUAGCAAGACGCGAGUCAUUCGUUCGCAUCUGGGACGUGAGGUGAGGUGGCCAACCAUUCUUUCCUUCGGUGAAGGAAGAGUUUGGCCUCGGAUCAGGCGGGGAUACCCGCUGAACUUAA
rnacentral:misc_RNA from 1 species